AUUGAACGCUGGCGGCAGGCCUAACACAUGCAAGUCGAGCGGAGCGGCGGACGGAUGAGUAAUGCAUAGGAAUCUGCCUGGUAGUUGGGGAUAACGUCCGGACACGAGCGCUAAUACCGCAUCAUAUCAGAGGAGCCUAGGUCGGAUUAGCUAGUUGGUGGGGUAAAGGCCUACCAAGGCGACGAUCCGUAACUGGUCUGCGUGGAUGAUCAGUCACAGUGGACAUGAGCCACGGUCCAGAUUCCUACGGGAGGCAGCAGUGGGGGAUAUUGGGCAAUGGGCGAAAGCCUGAUCCAGCCAUGCCGCGUGUGUGAAGAAGGUCGUCGGAUUGUAAAGCACUUUAAGUUGGGAGGCGUUACCAACAGAAAAAGCAUCGGCUAACUUCGUGCCAGCCGCCGCGGUAAUAC
rnacentral:rRNA from 1 species